UUGGGGGGUGGGGGGAUGUGCUUGGGCUGUGGGAUGGAAAUCCUAUGAAAUCAGAUUGUUAUGAUCAUUAUACAACUACAGAUGUGAUAAAUUCAUUUGAGUAGAUUUUGGGAGGGGCCUAAAACUUGAACAAUUUCAGAUGCCUUUAUUAAGAAAAAUAAUAAAACACUAUACAGGAGUCACCCUUGUGGCUGAGCAAGUUAGGAAUCUGACAUAAUGCCCAUGAGGAUGCAGAUUCACUCCCAGGCCUCGCUAAGUGGGUUAAGGAUUCUAGCACUGCUGCAAGCAUCAGUGUAGAUCAAAGGCGUGACUCAGAUCCAGGUUGCUGUGGCUGUAGCCUAGGCCUGCAGCUUCAACUCUAAUUCGACCCCCAGCCCAAGAACUUCCAUAUGCUGCAGGUACAGCCAUAAAAAGAAAAAAAAAAUUAUAAAUAUAGAAUUGGGAAUAAGUUAAGGCUAUAGACAUACAGAUAUAUAAAAGAAAUCACAACAAAUUUCAAAUUUCAAAAAGCAAUCAAUGUUACAAACAUCACCAAACCCAGAAAAAAAUACCAUAAUAUUUUUAUUUGAAUGCCUAACUUACUUCUAUAAUAUUUCCCCUACUUUUUUGUGUUUUCCUAUAUGGCAAUCUUAUAAAAUCAUUUACGGCAGAGGAACAGAAGAACAAUUCAACCGUUCUUCUAAUACGGCUGACUGAAAAAAUUUUAAUUGUGGUUCUUUAUUCCUGAUUAUCCAGAAUACAUGAAACACAUGACUUCACACACAAAUAUAUUCAAGGGAACUCUGAUACAGUCAUCCAAAAGGAAAAAAGAAAAAAAGAUUCUGAUGUGUUCGUAAUUGAAUAUGCUGCAUGAUCAAACAUGUUCCUUUAAUAAGAGGAGAGAAUUUUAUUUUCAUUAGGCAUCAUAGAAAUGAACACACAUCUGAUAAUUGGAAACCCAUCCCGAAGACAAGCUGGCUUUGUGUACCCAAACCUCAUUGCAUCAGUGGCGACACACAUCCUCCCAGUGCUGUGCGCAGAGGACACGUUCUUAUUACAAACCUGCACCUUGGGUCAUGAUGCUGUCUAAGUGGAUAAUACGAUUAUUCCUGGAUGUCAUACUUAUACUGAAACAGCUAGAACUAUCUUAAAUAUGCACAAAUGUGACUGCAAAUCCCCAAAUACAUUUCAUUAAAUAUGAUGCCAGUUUGAAUGCCCCUUAACCAGGUCCCAUGUGCACACAGCCCAUGUUUUGUUAUUUUUAGCAUACAGAUUCUGCACAUAUGUUAUUAGAUUUAUACCUGUAUGUUUUACUUCUUAAGGGUGCCGUUUUAUUUUUAUUAAUUUAUUUGACCACACCUGUGGCAUGCAGAGGUCCCCAAGCCAGGAACUGAACCUGAUCCACAGCAGUGACAAUACUGAGUCCUUAACCACUAGGCUACCAGAGAACUCCUUUUAAUUAAUUGUAUUUUUUUAGGGCCCCCACCCCCGCCACAACACAUGGAAGUUCCCAGGCUAAGGGUCAUAUCAGAGCUGCAGCUGCCAGCCUACGCCACAGCCACAGCAACGUGGGAUCCAAGCCGUAUCUGCGACCUAUGCUGCAGCGUGCAGCAACACCGGAUCCUUCACCCACUGAGUGAGGCCAAGGAUCAAAUCUGCGUCCUCGUGUAUACCUGUCAGGUUCCUAACCCACUGAGCCACAAUGGGAACUCUAAAGGUACUUUUUUUUUCAAUUCCAAAUUGUUCAUUACUAAAACACAGAAAUAUGAUUGGUUAGCUUUUAUAUAUUGAUAUUGUAUUCUGCGGCCUUGAAAAAACUUACUCUAGUGACUUCUGGAUAGAUUCUUUGAGAAUUUCUAUAAUUUUUUUUUUUUCUUUAAGGCCGCACCCACAGCAUAUGGAGGUUCCCAGGCUAGAGGUCGAACUGGAGCUGUAGCCACGGGCCUACACCUGAGCCACAGCAAGGCAGGAUCCAAGCUGCAUCUGCGCCCUACGUCACAGCUCAUGGCAACACCAGAUCCUUAAGAGAAUUUCUACAAUCUUCUCAUCUGCAAAUAGGAUUGUCUCUUCCAUUCUAUAUGCUAUUUGUUUCUUCUGUGCCUUCCUGCUCUGGCUAGGACCUCCAGGGUGAUACUGGAUACCAGUGGUGAUAGCAGUCAGCCUUCUUUUUUCUUCACCGUAGGGGAAAAGCCUUGAGCCUUUUACCGUUAAGAGUGCUGUUAGAAGUUCUCUUUCUAGCUCAGCAGUAACAAACCCGAGUAUUGUCCAUGAGGAUGCGAGUUCAAUCCCUGGCCUCGCUCAGUGGGUUAAGGAUCCAGCAUUGCCGUGAGCUGUGGUGUAGGUCGCAGAUUCAGCUCUGAUCCAUCCUUGUUGUGGCUGUGGCUGGCAGCUGUAGCUCAAAUUCGACCCCUAGCCUGGGAACUUCCAUAUGCUGCAGGUACUGCCCUAAAAAGCAAAAAAAAAAAAGAAUGCUGUCAGCAUGGGGAUCGUUAUCAGGUUGAGAAAAUUCCCUCUGAUUUCUAGUUUGCUGAGAUUUGUUUUGGUCAUAAAUUGAUGCUGAAUUUUGCCACCUGCUUUUCCUGAAUUCAUUGUGAUGAUCAUGGGGUUUCUUUUUUGCUUCUCUUCUUUUGUGGAUGUGGUGGAUUACCCGCUGAUCAAUUUUUAAGGCACGAAACAUAUUCAUUGGUUCAUUUGACAAGCAUCCGUGAGGAGUUAUUUUGCCCAGGCACUUGGUGAUGGAGAUACAAUUCUGACACUCCCCUCCGGGAGCUCAAGUGCCCACGUGCCCCUAGUGCUCACCAGCUCUGGAGAUGCGCCCCGUAUUACCUCUGCUGAGGACCUGCCUCCAGCAUCCCCCUCAAACCAGAAUUGCAAGUGUUGGGCCGCACCCCCAGGCCUAGGCCUGGGCUUACCCAGCUUUAAGACCAAAGAAAAGAGCCGCCCACCUUGGGUGGCAGCCUUCGAUCCCAGGGGAAGGGGAAAUUGCCAAUCACGGGGUGAAUUACACCAGGCUGCUCAUCAGUUACCAGGGAAACCAGCAGAGGGGCCUCUCCGAUAAGCCAUCACUAGCUGGGGGCUGGGCGAGGACACAGCAAGGUCCGUCGGGGGGGCAGCGGACACACAGGGAGCAGGACGACAACCAUCUUGAGUGGCCUGGCCACACGGCGGGGUUCUCCUCAGCUGCUGGGGGGACGUGGUUAGGCACAGCUAGCCGGGGAAUCUGGGGGAAUCAGAUCCUGGGGGAGCGGGGGGGGGCGCGGAGAGCAGGCCCCGCAGCUCCCUUCGAGAGGAGAUGAUUCUGUACGCGGGUCCCGGCGCCCCCCGAGGGCCACCGGCCUGGCCGUCCUGGUUCUCUCUCCACCGGAGAGUGGGGCCAACCAUCACCCCGGGGGGACUGGGACAUUUCGCAAUGACAGCCCCACCGAAGGAGAGCGUCUGACCACCUUAGAGAAAGAGCCGCGUCUGAUUACCCAGCAGCAAAGGCACACCCCUGCGUGGCGCCCCCCAAGCACCUCGCCCGCGCCGGAGCGGCCACCCGCGACCCCCGGCGGGGGCCCCGCUUCUUCCAGAAGACAGAAGCUCGGGCGCCCGGGCCCCAGCGCUCUCACCCGCAUGCUGCUCUCGCUGGUGCCGCAGCGCCCGAGCUGGGCUCCCCGCCUCCGUCUUCCUUCCCUCGGGUCCGCUCUCUCCACGCUGAGCCGGAGGAAUCUUCCAGAACUACAAAGCUGGGCGGGAGAACCAGGCAGGAGGGCAAGGGGCCGGGCACAGCUUUGAACGCGGCAGAGGAGGCGACGAAAACUGGCUGGAACCAGCUGGGUCC
rnacentral:tRNA from 1 species